GGUGAAUGAAUCAAUAACUUUGUCGGCACUUGCACGUGCUUCUCGUACACCUCGCUGUUCCUCUCUUUGUAUUCAUCCCUCGUAACAAAUAGUGAGCUGUGUCAAUAGUAUAAUGAUAGAUUGUUAAACAACGUUUUUAUUUUUACG